rnacentral:tRNA from 1 species
GCCGGGGUGGCGGAAUGGUAGACGCAACGGACUUAAAAUCCGUUGGGCAAUAUGCCCGUGCGGGUUCGAGUCCCGCCCUCGGUA